rfam:Octopus bimaculoides Scaffold2671_contig_25, whole genome shotgun sequence.
CUUGGAUAUGGUGACUAUGUUCCAGACACCCUACUCGGUUACAUUAUUGGAGCAAUAUGCUCUCUUUGCGGUGUUCUUAUGCUGGCGCUUCCAGUACCAGUUAUUGUCAAUAAU